UGUGACGAGAAAGGAUGUGUGUAAUUCGGUAGGGUCGCCGCGGGGGAGUAAACGCACACCCGCUCAGAGAGAUGUUUACCCGCACGCAUAUCGACCCUACAAUUUGCCCUAAAGAUCAAACACUCUAUACACAUCCAUCAUAUGAGGACUAAAAUGAAAAUGUAGUAUUUGCAGUCUAAAAAAUGCUAUUAAAUGUGUAAUGAAGAUGAAGACCCAAAGUAAUAGAUGUUGCAAGAUUUUGCCGACUAGACCGGCCAUAUCAUAGUCUUGUAGGCGCUUAUAAGUAAAGGUUCUGUUGCUUCUCCGUUUCGACCGCUAAUUAAAGUUUCGAAAGGCUCAGCCAUAUAUACUUAAAUAAAAAUUGACGCGAAAAUAUUACAUCUAACUUGUCAAAGGUUAUCAAAAUAUGUUUCAUAAUAAGUUAAACUAAGGUUUGUUCUUUAAAACAUGCUUAGUUACUAACUAGUCCGUUUGUUUCUAAACAUUUGUUAGAGUUCUGAAUAUAAUCAUUUCAUAUUUAAAUUCGUGUUUCCCAUAAAAAUAAUUUAUUUAAAUCCGAAUGAGAUUCCGGAUGUGAACGUCCGUGCGGAAGUGAUCAAAUAAUUUUAUAUUAAGCCCUUAAGCGAUCGAGAUUAUAGCUGGCCAGUAUUAUCGAAUUACAUUCGAUUAUACAUCGUUUUCGAUUAAUCGUAUUCAUUAUAUUGUAAUCGGUAUUCGCGUGCGGUAGCAGUAGCCGUCCGUGGCCGCAGGCUCACGGCUGCGGACUCCAGAUAAAAUUAAUGUAUCGGACUGAGCACACGCAACCUUUUGAAUCGAAUUAACGACACGAACUUCUUUUCAUCAGAAGUUGUUCGUUGUUUUUAUUCGAUUAAAUUAGGCUACAGAAUCGAUUACGUUUAUAACUGAUCUUUGCGAAUGAGUUUUCGUGUAAUUCGUUUUUUUAACUGUGACUUUUUAAAAGAAAAUCAAGUCAGGCUUUAUUUAAAAUGUAUCGUGUAAAGAUUACCGAAUAUUUAGUAGUUUAUAACACUGUCUAAAUGUGGAUUCGAAUAGAGGGCAUCCAGUUUACAUAACAGCGGCGUGGCCGAGGACCGGCGGAUGUUUGCAGCGAAAGUGCGGGAAGCGAGCACCAAGCGGCGAGCGGCGAGUGGAAAAAUGCGGUUUUGCAGGAAAAUAUUGAAAAUUAUUAAGGAAUUUUAAUUCUUAAUUGAAAUUGCUGUAAAUUGGCAAAGCGCAAUUCGAUGAAUGCUGGUAUUUGGUUAUUUCGCAAGCGCAAAUCGGCGCUGGUGAUGAUUUAACAGUGCGGACUCACGUUUGAUUCCUACGCUAUAACGUCACGCAGAGGUCAGCCAAAUAUUUGAAACCUUUGGAGGUUAACAUUCCUUUCCUAUGAUAUUAAAGAUGGCAAACGAGCUGAGCGGGCGAGGGGCAGGGGCUGGCGCUGUUGGAGGAGAGGCUCUUGUCAGGCUCGUCGGGCAGUUCGACGCUGCUCAUGCGGCCGCCCCGCG